rnacentral:rRNA from 1 species
CCAAUCACAGAGCACCUGCGGGCGCUCACCUCCUCCGCUCGCGGGGUGGGGUGGGGCGGUCCGCCGUUUACAGGAGCCGCCGGUGCAGGAGCCCUCUCGCGGGCCCCGGCCGAGCCGGCCCCUUCAACCCAUUGAACCCUCUGCCCUGAAGCAGCUUCGUAUGGGGACACCCCUGCGAUAGUAACUGAGACAACUCUCAACAACGGAUAUCUUGGCUCUCGCAACGAUGAAGAACGCAGCGAAAUGCGAUACGUAGUGUGAAUUGCAGAAUUCCGUGAGUCAUCGAAUCUUUGAACGCACAUUGCCGGUCGACUCUUCGGAGGAGACCACAUCUGCCUCAGCGUCGGAAUACCCCCUCACGCACUCCCGCGUGGACCUGGCCCCCCCGGACUCCCCGUCCGGGCCGGCUGAAAAGCAGAGGCUCGUGCGCGGCCCAUUCGUGGCCCCGACUAGGUAGGUAGCUCGCUACUGCUAGGCGGAGGCUCGGUGUCGCGUGCUUUGGGCCCCAAAGGAUACCCAUCCAUUCAUUCGACCUGAGUUCAGGUGAGGCUACCCGCUGAACUUAAGCAUAUCAAUAG